CUACGUGCCAGCAGCCGCGGUAAUACGGAGGGUGCGAGCGUUAAUCGGAAUAACUGGGCGUAAAGGGCACGCAGGCGGUGACUUAAGUGAGGUGUGAAAGCCCCGGGCUUAACCUGGGAAUUGCAUUUCAUACUGGGUCGCUAGAGUACUUUAGGGAGGGGUAGAAUUCCACGUGUAGCGGUGAAAUGCGUAGAGAUGUGGAGGAAUACCGAAGGCGAAGGCAGCCCCUUGGGAAUGUACUGACGCUCAUGUGCGAAAGCGUGGGGAGCAAACAGGAUUAGAUACCCUGGUAGUCCACGCUGUAAACGAUGUCGAUUUGGGGGUUGAACUUUAAGUUUGGCGCCCGUAGCUAACGUGAUAAAUCGACCGCCUGGGGAGUACGGCCGCAAGGCUAAAACUCAAAGAAAUUGACGGGGGCCCGCACAAGCGGCGGAGCAUGCGGAUUAAUUCGAUGCAACGCGAAGAACCUUACCAAGGCUUGACAU
rnacentral:rRNA from 1 species